CGUGAGACAGUUUGGUCCCUAUCUGCAGUGGGCGUUGGAAGUUUGACGGGGGCUGCUCCUAGUACGAGAGGACCGGAGUGGACGAACCUCUGGUGUACCGGUUGUGACGCCAGUCGCAUCGCCGGGUAGCUAAGUUCGGAAGAGAUAAACGCUGAAAGCAUCUAAGCGUGAAACUCGCCUGAAGAUGAGACUUCCCUAGGGAUUAAAUCCCUCUAAAGAGACGUUCGAGACCAGGACGUUGAUAGGUCGGGUGUGGAAGAGUGGUAACACUUGCAGCUAACCGAUACUAAUUGCUCGUGAGGCUUGACUCUAU
rnacentral:rRNA from 1 species